GAAAAAAAUAAAAGAAAAAUUUGGGUAAGAAAAUGGAUUCAGCGUAGAGCUACUUUAGGAUUACAUGAGAAGUUACUUAAUGAGUUAAGAAUGGAAGACCCACAACAGUUGAAAAACUUUCUACGAAUGUCUGCAAAAGACUUCGAUUUUUUGCUUGGUUUGGUGAAGGAAAAGAUAUAUAAGAAAGAUACAAAAAUGCGACAGGCCAUUAGACCAGAAGAACGCCUGUCUUUGACACUUCGCUUUUUAGCCACAGGUGAUUCCUACCAUUCUCUUAUGUAUUUGUAUCGAAUCCCUGUAUGUACGAUCGCAAGGAUUGUUCCUGAGUGCUGUGCUGCAAUUGUGGAAGCUCUAAAAAAGGAAUAUUUAAAGGUUCCAAAUACCCAAGAAGAAUGGAUUAGGAUUGCAAAAGAUUUUAAAAAUAUCUGGAAUUUCCCAAACUGCCUAGGAGCUCUGGAUAGAAAACAUGUCGUUAUGCAAGCCCCACCUUGCAGUGGAAGUUAUUAUUUUAACUACAAAGGCACGCACAGCAUAGUUUUAAUGGCUUUGGCUGAUGCAAAUUAUAAAUUUAUUUAUGUGGAUGUUGGUUGUAAUGGAAGAAUUUCGGAUGGUGGCGUGUAUAACAUGUGUUCUCUGCUACCGCUUUGGAAAAUAAUACUGUAAAUUUGCCUCCUCCAUAACAGCU